rnacentral:rRNA from 1 species
CCUACGGGGGGCAGCAGUGGGGAAUAUUGGGCAAUGGGCGCAAGCCUGACCCAGCAAUGCCGCGUGAAGGAAGACGGCUUUCGGGUUGUAAACUUCUUUGACUGGGGAAGAGCAGAAGACGGUACCCUGCAUACAAGCCACGGCUAACUACGUGCCAGCAGCCGCGGUAAUACGUAGGUGGCCAGCGUUGUCCGGAUUUACUGGGUGUAAAGGGCGUGUAGCCGGGAAGGCAAGUCAGAUGUGAAAUCUGGUGGCUCAACCUCCAAAUUGCAUUUGAAACUGUUUUUCUUGAGUACAGGAGAGGCAGGCGGAAUUCCUUGUGUAGCGGUGAAAUGCGUAGAUAUAAGGAAGAACACCAGUGGCGAAGGCGGUCUGCUGGACAGCAACUGACGGUGAGGCGCGAAAGCGUGGGGAGCAAACAGGAUUAGAUACCCGUGUAGUC